UACGGUAGGGUGCGAGCGUUGUCCGGAAUUAUUGGGCGUAAAGAGCUUGUAGGCGGUUUGUCGCGUCUCGCUGUGAAAUUUCGGGGCUCAACCCCGACUUGCAGCGGGUACGGGCAGACUAGAGGUGUGGUAGGGGAGCUGGAAUUCCUGGUGUAGCGGUGGAAAUGCCGGCAGAUAUCAGGAGGAACACCGUGGCGAAGGCGCUGCGUCU
rnacentral:rRNA from 1 species